AGACCCGAAACCCGGUGAUCUAGCCAUGGGCAGGUUGAAGGUUGGGUAACACUAACUGGAGGACCGAACCGACUAAUGUUGAAAAAUUAGCGGAUGACCUGUGGCUGGGGGUGAAAGGCCAAUCAAACCGGGAGAUAGCUGGUUCUCCCCGAAAGCUAUUUAGGUAGCGCCUCGUGAAUUCAUCUCCGGGGGUAGAGCACUGUUUCGGCCAGGGGGCCAUCCCGGCUUACCAAUCCGAUGCAAACUGCGAAUACCGGAGAAUGUUAUCACGGGAGACACACGGCGGGUGCUAACGUCCGUCGUGAAGAGGGAAACAACCCAGACCGCCAGCUAAGGUCCCAAAGUCAUGGUUAAGUGGGAAACGAUGUGGGAAGGCCCAGACAGCCAGGAUGUUGGCUUAGAAGCAGCCAUCAUUUAAAGAAAGCGUAAUAGCUCACUGGUCGAGUCGGCCUGCGCGGAAGAUGUAACGGGGCUAAACCAUGCACCGAAGCUGCGGCAGCGACACUGAUGUGUUGUUGGGUAGGGGAGCGUUCUGUAAGCCGUUGAAGGUGUGUCGUGAGGCAUGCUGGAGGUAUCAGAAGUGCGAAUGCUGACAUAAGUAACGAUAAAGCGGGUGAAAAGCCCGCUCGCCGGAAGACCAAGGGUUCCUGUCCAACGUUAAUCGGGGCAGGGUGAGUCGACCCCUAAGGCGAGGCCGAAAGGCGUAGUCGAUGGGAAACGGGUUAAUAUUCCCGUACUUGGUGUUACUGCGAAGGGGGGACGGAGAAGGCUAUGUUGGCCGGGCGACGGUUGUCCCGGUUUAAGCGUGUAGGUGUGUGUUCCAGGUAAAUCCGGUUCACUUUAACACUGAGGCGUGACGACGAGGCACUACGGUGCUGAAGCAACAAAUGCCCUGCUUCCAGGAAAAGCCUCUAAGCCUCAGGUAACAUCAAAUCGUACCCCAAACCGACACAGGUGGUCAGGUAGAGAAUACCAAGGCGCUUGAGAGAACUCGGGUGAAGGAACUAGGCAAAAUGGUGCCGUAACUUCGGGAGAAGGCACGCUGACACGUAGGUGAAGUGGUUUACCCAUGGAGCUGAAGUCAGUCGAAGAUACCAGCUGGCUGCAACUGUUUAUUAAAAACACAGCACUGUGCAAACACGAAAGUGGACGUAUACGGUGUGACGCCUGCCCGGUGCCGGAAGGUUAAUUGAUGGGGUCAGCGCAAGCGAAGCUCCUGAUCGAAGCCCCGGUAAACGGCGGCCGUAACUAUAACGGUCCUAAGGUAGCGAAAUUCCUUGUCGGGUAAGUUCCGACCUGCACGAAUGGCGUAAUGAUGGCCAGGCUGUCUCCACCCGGGACUCAGUGAAAUUGAACUCGCUGUGAAGAUGCAGUGUACCCGCGGCAAGACGGAAAGACCCCGUGAACCUUUACUAUAGCUUGACACUGAACACUGGUCCUUGAUGUGCAGGAUAGGUGGGAGGCUUUGAAGUGUGGACGCCAGUCUGCAUGGAGCCAUCCUUGAAAUACCACCCUUUAAUGGCUGGUGUUCUAACGUGGACCCGUAAUCCGGGUUGCGGACAGUGUCUGGUGGGUAGUUUGACUGGGGCGGUCUCCUCCUAAAGAGUAACGGAGGAGCACGAAGGUUGGCUAAUCCUGGUCGGACAUCAGGAGGUUAGUGCAAUGGCAUAAGCCAGCUUGACUGCGAGCGUGACGGCGCGAGCAGGUGCGAAAGCAGGUCAUAGUGAUCCGGUGGUUCUGAAUGGAAGGGCCAUCGCUCAACGGAUAAAAGGUACUCCGGGGAUAACAGGCUGAUACCGCCCAAGAGUUCAUAUCGACGGCGGUGUUUGGCACCUCGAUGUCGGCUCAUCACAUCCUGGGGCUGAAGUAGGUCCCAAGGGUAUGGCUGUUCGCCAUUUAAAGUGGUACGCGAGCUGGGUUUAGAACGUCGUGAGACAGUUCGGUCCCUAUCUGCCGUGGGCGCUGGAAGAUUGAGGGGGGCUGCUCCUAGUACGAGAGGACCGGAGUGGACGCAUCACUGGUGUUCGGGUUGUCAUGCCAAUGGCACUGCCCGGUAGCUACAUGCGGAAGAGAUAAGUGCUGAAAGCAUCUAAGCACGAAACUUGCCCCGAGAUGAAUCUUCCCUGAGCCUUUAAGGCUCCUGAAGGAACGUUGAAGACGACGACGUUGAUAGGCCGGGUGUGUAAGCGCAGCGAUGCGUUGAGCUAACCGGUACUAAUGAACCGUGAGGCUUAACCUUACAAC
rnacentral:rRNA from 1 species